rnacentral:rRNA from 1 species
UACGUAGGGAGCAAGCGUUGUCCGGAAUCAUUGGGCGUAAAGCGCGCGUAGGUGGCCCCGUAAGUCCGCUGUGAAAGUCAAAGGCUCAACCUUUGAAAGCCGGUGGAUACUGUGGGGCUAGAGUACGGAAGAGGCGAGUGGAAUUCCUGGUGUAGCGGUGGAAUGCGCAGAUAUCAGGAGGAACACCAAUAGCGAAGGCAGCUCGCUGGGACGUUAACUGACACUGGAGGCGCGAAAGCGUGGGGAGCGAACAGG